AGGGACUGGGUUUCAGCAUUGUGGGUGGCCAGGACAGCAUUUAUGGUCCCAUUGGCAUCUAUGUGAAGACUAUCUUUCCUGGUGGAGCAGCUGCUGCAGAUGGAAGGUUACAAGAAGGAGAUGAAAUCCUAGAAUUGAAUGGAGAAUCAAUGCAUGGACUCACACACCAUGAAGCUUUGCAGAAAUUUAAGGCCAAGAAGGGUCUCCUCACCCUCACAGUUCGGACAAGCUUCAGCACUCCAUCUUCUGCCACCAACUAUUUAUCAUCUCACCUUUGUCGUUCUCUGAGUACCAGUAUGUGCAUCACCAAGGAGAACAGCUCCUUUGGGUCAGAAAGCACCACGGUGUUUCCUCUGAAUACCAUGA